GUAGUGUGUAAAAUCUGAACCAAUUUAUGAAUGGAACAUUAAAAACAAAAGUCUUGACAGCAAAGAAUUAUACUGAAAAAUUUUACAAUGUUUACAUGAUUCUGCUUAAAAUAACAAUAGAAAUGACAGAAUAGAGAUCUGAAGCUACACCAUGGUAUUAUAACUCCUCAACAUGUCACACACGAGCAGUUGUAAUACUUUAAUAUCUUAUGUAGCGCUUUCUGAUUACAUAAACCAGGCCCAUCAGCUUCUAUAUUUUCCAGAUAAAACUCUGGAUAAUAUUUUCUUGUUUGUAAAGUUUAAGAAAGUUUUGAAAGAACACAAGUUUCAGGAAGUCAAGGACAUUAAAUAUCAUAACAAAGCCAAACAUGUUGACUUUGUUGGAAACAUUUCAAAGAAGACUUUUUGAAAUUUUUCCAACAAUGGCAACAAUGAUGGACAAAAUAUAUAGUUAUUGGAAAGAAUUUACUAUGAAAUCUGUCCAUUUUAUAUAGGGUUGAUCAGAC
rnacentral:lncRNA from 1 species